rnacentral:rRNA from 1 species
GACGAACGCUGGCGGCGUGCUUAACACAUGCAAGUCGAACGGAAAGGCCCUGCUUUUGUGGGGUGCUCGAGUGGCGAACGGGUGAGUAACACGUGAGUAACCUGCCCUUGACUUUGGGAUAACUUCAGGAAACUGGGGCUAAUACCGGAUAGGAGCUCCUGCUGCAUGGUGGGGGUUGGAAAGUUUCGGCGGUUGGGGCUGGACUCGCGGCUUAUCAGCUUGUUGGUGGGGUAGUGGCUUACCAAGGCUUUGACGGGUAGCCGGCCUGAGAGGGUGACCGGCCACAGUGGGACUGAGAUACGGCCCAGACUCCUACGGGAGGCAGCAGUGGGGAAUAUUGCAAAAUGGGCGGAAGCCUGAUGCAGCAACGCCGCGUGCGGGAUGACGGCCUUCGGGUUGUAAACCGCUUUCGCCUGUGACGAAGCGUGAGUGACGGUAAUGGGUAAAGAAGCACCGGCUAACUACGUG